GGCGCUAUAGCCAAGUGGUUACGGCGACAGAUUCGAAUCGCGUCGAGACGAUCUGUUCCUCUUUGAGGGCGCAGGUUCAAAUCCUGCUGGCGUCG